AGAGUGUUAGCAAAGCUUGUCCACGGCACGUGAACUUCAUUUUGGGGGUUGGCCACGUUUCAUCGCUGUGGCUGUGACACUUUGGUCGGAUAAUAAUGUCUUGUUCAGCGUUGGGUUGCACGGCAAGACACUCAAAAGAAUCGGCAGUUCAGUUUUUCCGCUAACAUUGGAGCCU